GAUUUCUGGCUCCUAGGUGUCUUUUAUACAGGUAACAAGCUGAGAUUAGGGGCACUCCCUUUAAGAGAGUGCUCCAAAUCUCAGUUUGUUACCUAUAUAAAAGACACCUGUCCUCAGAAG